UUGAGGGGGGAGACAAUUCUCUGAUCCUUAUUUUACACACUAUUCACGUACAUAGUCACCCUUAACAUUCAAGAGAAACCCUUAAUUUUCAUGAGAAAACCCCUUAAUUUUUACAUGCUAUCACAUAAAUCACCACAGCAUGUUACUUCGCUAAUCUGAACCGUGCCUAAGACCCAAAUCGCACCCUCAGUUUCUAUGCGCACCAACCACCACACUGCUCUCCGACGCAGAUCCACGAAGUACCUUUUCCGGCGAAAUCGAUCUCGCAACACACAACCGAGCCAACCUUCGAGGCAGCCUCCCUUUGACGUUUUAGAUCCUCAGUCCACCACCAUGGAAUCCUUGAUAUGCAGGUUUGAUACCUUCAAAAGUGAUGGCUGCAGUGGGUUGGCAUACUCUGUACGAACUGGUUUGCUAUUUUGAACCACACUUGCGGGUUGCGUGAAUCUUGGUGGAGAAAUGUUGGUGUGAUAUUUCUUUGAGGCUGACUUUGUUUGAAUUGAUGUAGGUGGCGAUGGUGAAUUAUGCAGGGACCAAAUUCUUCAAUGGCUUGGAAGGAGCACCGAUAGGAACCGGAUUGUUUAAGGCUUUGCAAACUUUGGGAGCAGGGUUUACAUUGAGCUAAUUAAGGGUCUCAGAAGCUGAGCUUGCAUUGAACUGACUUGGUACAGGUAUAAACUGAAUUUUUGAAUUAGUUUUGGUUUUGCAGAAUUUAUGGUAUGGCAUUUACCUUGUUGAGUGUGUGGAUUUGAAUGUUGCAGGGGCUGCCUUAUGAUUAUGGAUGCAAGGCGGUUUCCUUUGCAGAUGGUGACAGGUUGAUGGGCUGCAAUGUAAAAGACGGGGACUAGGUCGCGGAGAGGUAGACGAAGGUUUCGGUACAGCCAGAAGUUGACAUGAAGGGCUGAGCUAAGACUGUUUUGAGGGCUGGUUUAAAGACGCGGGUAGCAACGGUCUCGAAUUGUGUGGAAGCUGUGGUCUUUUGUAAUGCCAUUUUAUGAUGAAUUGUAUUGUUAUUUUUUGAUGAAUGUAAUGUAUGUAUGUAAUGCCGACUGUAUCGUAUUUUGAGACAUGAGAAAGUGUAAUGAAGGUGUUUAAGCACUCUAAUUGAUGGAAUAAUUGAUAAUGCAGUGGUAAUUUCCUUUUUCAAAUAAGACUUGAAACACAUUUGUUCUCUCCAUGUACUCAAAUGAACUGUCAAAUCAUCACUUUACUCUCACAAUACUUGAAUCAGAUGGCAUCAUGAUAAGAUGAAGAAAGCCAAAGUAGAUUUGUAUGGAUUUUGGUCAAAAGGUUAACUUUUCAUGAUUGACUUUGACCAAAUCUAAAAGUUAUACCAAAUGUCCUUCAUCUUGAAAUGAUUCAUAAGUUCCAACAUGCUCCAUACUGAACUCUUGCUUAAAAUUCAAAGUCAAUGAUUUGUACUUCCGGUAAUCAAGUGAGUCAAACUCGUAUACACUCAGGAUGUCUUUGAUAAUUCCAAGCAUAAGGAAGUAAACCUCAAUCCAUGGUUCAAUUGAAAACCUUAAUAGAAACGAGUCUGCCAGAGAUAAGAACUCCAAACCACGCAACACCCCCGCUUUAUCAAUGACCUUGAUCUCCUGUCAAGUUUAUUGAUUAAUGAAUGCAUGAGUUAUGCUAGAUGACCUAAUGGAAGGUAUGUACAUGGAUGCAAAGUCGAAGCCAGUUAGAAAUAAGUUAGGGGUAGGACAAAUUUAGGGUAUGACAGCGCUAGCAUCACACCCCACCUCAUCUAACAACCUUACAACAUCAACGAACCAUACACGCUUUUGGUUAUCAACAACCUAUCAUUGGGGCAUCAUACAAAUACAUAUAAAUCAUGCAUUACAUACAUUGGUUGAUGCAUUAUACCACACCUUUUUAGGUAGUCUUCUUUAAGACAUUCUUUUUCUAAGAACCUUUUUAGGUAGUCUUCUUUAAGACAUUCUAAGAACAUUUCUAGGCAAUCUUCUUUAAGACAAUCAUCGUCAUUUCCAAGAACCUUUUUAGGUAGUCUUCUUCAAGACAUUCUUUUCCUAAGUACCUUUUAGGGUAGUCUUCUUCAAGACAUUCUUUUUCUAAGUACCUUUUAGGGUAGUCUUCUCCAAGACAUUCUUUUUCUAAGUACCUUUUCAGGUAGUCUUCUCCAAGACAUUCUUUUUCUAAAUACCUUUUCAGGUAGUCUUCUUUAAGACAAUUUAUCAUCCUUUCAGGAACCUCUUCAGGUAGUCUUCUUCAAGACAUUCUACAAACCUUUUUAGGUAGUCUUUUCUAAGACAUUCAUUGUCCUUUCCAGGAACCUUUUCAGGUAGUCUUCUUUAAGACAAAUUGUCAUCCUUUUCAGGAACCUCUUCAGGUAGUCUUCUUUAAGACAUUCUACAAACCUUUUUAGGUAGUCCUUUCUAAGACAUUCAUUGUCCUUUCCAAGAACCUUUUUAGGUAGUCUUUGUAAGACAUUUUUCAGCCUUUCCAGGUAGUCUUCUUUGAGACAUUCCUCAUCCUUUGCUAAGAACCUUUUCAGGUAGUCUUCUUUAAGACAAAUGUUCAUAUCCAUUCCGGAAACCUUUCUUAGGUAGUCUUAUAGAAGACAUUAUCUCGUUCCACUCACUACAUCAAUCAACAUAUGCAUGAGCACAAGCAUUAUCCCAUACAUCAAAACAUCCAAGUCAUUACUCUGGUGCAAAACCACAUUGUCCACCUGCCUUUCGGUAACCUUACCGAUGCCAAUAACCUUAUUGAGAUAUUCUUCCCAAUCACUUGAUUGAUGCUUUCCGGUAACCUUACCGAUGCCAGUAACCUUACUGAGGUAUUCUUCCCAAUCACCUGAUUGAUGAUUUCCGGUAACCUUACCGAUGCCAAUAACCUUACUGAGGUAUUCUUCCCAAUCACCUGAUUGAUGAUUUCCGGUAACCUUACCGAUGUCAGUAACCUUACUGAUUGUUUACUUUACAAUCACCUGAUUGAUGUAUCCCGGUAACCUUACCGAUGACAGUAACCUUACUGCUUGUUUACCCCCAAUCACCUGAUUGAUGUAUCCUGGUAACCUUACCGAUGAUAGCAACCUUGUUGUUCAUUUCAUUCAUAAAACAUAUACAUACGCAUUAGCAUAUACAUAUCAUCUAGCGCAUUCACAUACUACAAAAAGCCUAGUUUCCAACCCUCGAGUUGCGAGUCUCCAAGCAAGUGAAUCUUUUUUCAUGCAGACGAACUUGCUAGAACCAUAACAAACAAUCUUCUAUGCAGGUAAACUUGUCCGAACCGGGGCAGGUGGAUCCCAUUGGUGCAGGUGAGCUUGGUAAGUAGGUAUGGCUAACUGCGACGACUUAUUAGAACUAUAGUAAGUGGGCUACACCAUCUACGAUAAACUUACUGAAACUACGAUAGUGAAUGGGUAUACCAACUGCGACGACUUACUAGAACUAUAGUAAGUGGGUUACCUACAAACUGCAAAGCUUGUUAGCGCUAUAGCAAGCUGAUUAUCUUCUACACAGCAAACGGCGAACCCUCGCUAUUGCUAGCUACGGUUAUUCAUCACGUUAGUCCCUCGGCAGUGAUCUUCUUCAAAACUUCACCAAUAACAAGCAAAGGUCUUAUCUUUCUUUUUCAAAGUUACUAACAUGCUUCAAAUAACAUAGCUAACAGUCAUGCAUCAUUCAAUUACAUACCUCAUUCAUACAUAAUGCAUAUACAUACAUUGCUCUCAUUUAUUUUGAGAAGCUCACUGCAUCAUACAUCACAUGCAUCAUGACAUUGCAUAAAAUUAAGGUUUCCUUUUCAGGCCAUGCUACAAUCAAAACACGUGGUUCCUUCCAAGAAGCAUUUGCUUCACAUUCUGAAAGAAAGGGGAAUUUACCUUGGAUGGCAUCUUGGAGCCCAUCUCCCAUGGAACUUCAUCCCAACAAAUGCAAAUUUCGGGGCAUUUCAGUGUUCAAUCAUCUUCUACCUUUAGAUCACGAUAGGCAGACGUGCCUAUCUAACUCUUCAGGUUUAAGAAAAUUGAACAGGGGCAGCUGUCAUACCCCAAAAUUUGCCCUCUUAAAAUUGUCUAUGUCAUUUUAUUUCGAAUAAUUGAUAUGGUGCAGUCUGUAAGAAUUUAAGGAUAAGAGUGUGCGAUCGAGAGGUCCCGGGUUCGAAUCUCACUUCUAACUUUUCUUCUUUUAUUUUUAUAAUGUUUGUUUCUAACCUCUUUUUAUUUAUUUAUUUAUUCAGAAAAAAAUCACAAAAAUAUAGUUCUUUAUAUUUUCAUUUUUAAAUUUAUAUUAGUAUUAGUUUUAAUUUAUAGUUUUAUUUAUUUGUAGAUUUAUUAGAUUUAUAGUUUUAUUAGAUUUAAAAUAGUGAAAAUAUAAUAGAUCCAAGCCCGUUCCUUACCCUAAUUUUUAUUAUAAAUACACAACUAACAACCCUAUUUUGAGGGGGGGGAGACAAUUCUCUGAUCCUUAUUUUACACACUAUUCACGUACAUACUCACCCUUAACAUUCAAGAGAAACCCUUAAUUUUCAUGAGAAAACCCCUUAAUUUUUACAUGCUAUCACAUAAAUCACCACAGCAUGUUACUUCGCUAAUCUGAACCGUGCCUAAGACCCAAAUCGUACCCUCAGUUUCUAUGCGCACCAACCACCACACUGCUCUCCGACGCAGAUCCACGAAGUACCUUUUCCGGCGAAAUCGAUCUCGCAACACACAACCGAGCCAACCUUCGAGGCAGCCUCCCUUUGACGUUUUAGAUCCUCAGUCCACCACCAUGGAAUCCUUGAUAUGGUGAGUUUGUAUGUUUCUCAUUUUCCGUCGGUUAGCUAUUGUGUUUGUUAUUAUGUUGACUUUGAUCUGGGCUUGAUUUUUGAGAAAUUUAUAAUGGUUAAUUUGAGAGAAAGAAGGUGAUAAAAGGAAGAAGAUAACUUUACGGAUUGUUUUUUCUUCUUUUUGCGUUAUAAGUAUUACUAUUGUUUUUUUAAGAUUUGCCAUCUAACGAUAUUAUGUGUGAGAGAGGAAGUGGUGUCAUUGUUGUGUUGUAUCGUUACUGGUAUUGAUAGCUAUGUUUUUCUAUUUUAAUUACUACUACAUGCCAUGUGUCACCGAAUGAUUGGGUUUCUCUUUUUAAUUUGGAAGAAACGUGAGAUAUGGAGAAAAAUUAGAAGAGCAUCCUUGGUUUGUUUUAGUUUCUUAAGUUGUUUUAUCAUUUUGUUGUUUUAUUUUUAACGGAACAUGUGUCAUGAUAUCGGUGGUGAGAUUUUAUUGGAUUUAUCUCUUCAUUGGUUCCAUUUGAUUUAUUUAAUUAGUUAGUUUAACCAAAAAAAGAUUUUAUUUGGUUUAUGGACAAUUUAAUCUAAUUUAAUUUAGGUUAGAGUCAAUUUAUUAAUCGUUUUAAUCAAACUAAUUGGUUGCGAUGGUUAAUAAUAAAAUAAUUCAAUUCCCGGAACAAUUCAAAUAAUCUGUUAAAACACAUCAAUUUGCUAAUGGUGAUAAUCGAAUCUUUCGAUUAGAAUAAUUAGCAAUUCCUAUUAAUCCGUUAACUAUGGUGAUCAAACCUAUUGAUCAUCGCAACUAGCGGUAACAUAUUAAACCAGGGUUGUACGCCCAAAUCUUAAAACACUCCUUCAAACUACAGAUUUUCAUCUCUUCAAUACUGCGAUGUUCAAACUACGAUAAGGUAAUUCAAAAUACCUUGCGAACAUUUGCAUUUCCAAACUACGAUAGGCCAUUCAAAAAGCCUUUAAACACUUCCAUAAUCAAUUCUAAGGCGUACAACCCUGUACCCGAACUACGUAGACUCUGAUCCUCCAUAAGGAGGUACGUAGGCACUUGGCAACAAGGCGAGUCUCCUUCCCAAAAAUCUCAAUUUUUCCCCUUCUCAUUUCCUUAGCUAUUAACCUCUGUAAUUUUGCUAUAAACCUUUACCUUAGAUUCAAAGCCAAUAGGAAAGGGUUGAGGGUGCAUAACACCUUCCCUCGACCUGAAUAUAGUAUCUUACCCUGAUCUCUUAACUGCGUAGGUUUCCUAUUCGCCUUGGUAGAAUAGGUGGCGACUCUAAAUAUUAAUUUUUAGGGCAGGUUGCUACAGCUUCAUCAUCUCGUUGCUUCUUAUGUUGAUCUUGAAUCUUCGAUUCCUGCAACAACACAACUUAAAAACAUAGAACUUUGCAAGUUCUGUUAGUAAAGCAACUGAUUAAAUCAAAUCAUUUAUCACAUAUUUCUCCCCCUUUUUGUCAUAUCAUCAAAAACAUAAAAGAUUCAGAUAAAAAACAAAAAGAAACACACGGAAGAAAAAGGAUGAUUUUCAUUGAAGUUCAACCAGACAAGUACAGAAGUACACAAAGAGAAGGAAGACAAGAUGCACAAAAACAGAUGCAGCAAAAGGCAAAAACAAAACAACAAGGACUCAAUCUAAUACGACCCUAGCCUUGACAGGAUCUUAACCAGCAUCUCUUGAACCACAUUGUUGUAUCCAUCUUGCCUCUCCAUGAAGGCUCUAAACUCAGCAUUGACUGAGCUUUGCUCAUCCUGUUUCUUCUGAAUAUCUUCCAGAGUCCUUGCAAGACGAGAAGAUUCAUCAGAAGAAGCUUCACCGCUUCUAACCACAGGAAUAGCAUUGUGAUCUGUAGCUUCCAUAGAUAGAUCAUUUGCAGGGAUUUCCUCAACAGGAACUGAUUCAGCAACAUGAUCUUCUACAUCUGCUUCUUGCAUAGAAGCAUCUCCAUAAUCUGCAGCUGGAAUCUCAGAAUCUCCAUUCUCAAGUGCCUGAAGAAUGGCAGCAAGAUUCCUGGGGGCAGAAGGACCUUCAACUUCUGGUGGGUCAACAACUUCUGGAAUGACCAAGCUUGGGUCUUCCUUAGAAGGGUUUUCCCUCAGAAAGUCAAAGAGGGUCUUGAAAUCCCCAAGUAGAACAGGAUAUUGAGGUAUCCAGACCACAAUCUCCCUGCAAGGAUUGGCUUCCAAUGCAGCAGCAAGUCUUGCUACUUCCAAUUCAUCCACAAAGGGCUUCUCCUCAGCAGCAACACAAUUUCUGAGAGGAUGGUAGUAUAUACCAUUAUCAUCCUCCAGAAGGUAACCAGGGUAACCAGGGGCAGCAGCCACUAGUCUUUUCUGUACUCCCAUUGCUUCUACUUGAAAAUCCUUGCGAAAUCUUCUCCAGAGAUUUCUUGUAGAAACAUCAUCCAGACCAUUUAGAAAUGCAUCCUUCAGAAGGUCUAGACUGCUAAUCACCUCAUGUCUGAAAAGUUCCAGGUAGGUAUAGGGUUCAGGUUCAGGCGGAUUGAAGGUGAAUUUGUAGUCAGGGUAGAGAAGACAGUAAGGUUUGGAUUUUCUGGUAGGUAAGGGAUGGGAUAUAGAAGGUGGAGGUGCGGUGGAUGAGGAAGAAGGGAUAUCUGAGAGAAUGAUUGAUGAGGAUGGAAUAUCAGAAAUGAUAGAUUGAGAAGAGGAUGGAGUAUUUGUAAAGGGAAUUGGUGAGAAAGAUUUAUCAGAAGGAGUUGGGGGAAGAAUACUUAAAGGUGUGGGGUUUAGAAUGGGAGAGGAGAAGGAUGAUGGAGAAGGAUUUGGUAAGGUGAAGUUUAUUUUUGGUUCAGAUGGAGGUGAUUGGAAAGAUGGUUUAGGGACAGAAGGAGGUGGAGUAAAAACCUGCCUGGAGGUUUGUACAGAAGAAGAAGAUCUGGUUCUGCGAAAGGAAUCUCUGAUCCUUUUAUCCCUUCGUUCGUCAGAGUCCACCUUGUCAGGAUCAUAGGUGACCCUCAACUUCUUGGCUUUCUCAGCCUCAUCUUCUCGGGCUUUUCUUUUUAGCCUAGCCUUUAGUUCCUUCUGAUCCUUCUUCAGAAGAUCAGCCUUGGACGGAAGUACUCUGCCACGGAUCCAAGCAGGAUCAAUAUCUGAUUGCUUCCUAACACAAUCUUCCAGGUAAAGCUUGACAACCUGAUGCAGUUCUUUUUGAAACAAAUAGGCAAAAUCUUCAACAGCAACUCUUCUUGACAGAAUGUCAGGAAAGCUUGUGCACACAGAAGGUACAUUUUGACUGAGUUCCAGUCUGAACAAAUCCACGCCAUUGAAAAUGGGACCUUGAACUACUCCAAGAAAAUGGGACGCAUUGAGUUUUCUGAUGGAGUCCAGCACUUUGCUUUCAAUCAGAAUGUCUGAAAUCAUUCUUCCAAAAGGAAUAGUCGUUCUUGGAAUAUGAGGGUACUUCGCCCUUUCGUCUUCUCUUGACUCAAAGAUAGAAGUCUUCAGAUUCUCAAACAGAAUAUGAGAGAUGUUGAUCUCAGUCUUUUUGCCAAUGCAGAAAAGAGUGUACUUGUGAUCUGGACUGAUGUAGGAGGAGGAGAGCAUCCUUUUUCUAUGGUGAAGGGAACCCAGAAUAAUCUCAGCCCAUACUUUAUAAAACGGCCUUAAGGUGCCUGUGUUAUUAGAGUCAAUUCCAAAAGUCUGAGAGAUUUGAUGUUCAACUUUAGACCAAUCAACUGAUGCAUGUCGAAAACCAGACCAACCUUCUUCAUCAUUCAGAUUGUACAGCUUCCUGAUGAGCUUUUCAGUGAUAACCACUUCAUGCCCUAGCACGAAUGAAAUGAUGGCAAUUGGGGUAACCGUUGCAUGUACCCAGAAAUCCUUCACAAGUUCAGGAUAAAUUGGACCAACCAAUCUAUCAAGAUACUUAGACCAUCCUUGCUCAAAGAUUCUUGCAUCACAUUUAAAGCCAUUUGCUUUUAAGUUGUUGAUGUCCACAACAGAUUCACAUAGAACUUCCAGUUCUUUCGUGGGUAUUAAGCAUGUUUUCAAUGGAGCAUACUCAUAUUUGCGUAGAAGGAUCUGUGUAGAAGUGAGCCUUUCUUUUGAGUUCGAUGAACAAGAAGAUGAGUUCAUGAUGAUUAUGCUUUGAGAUCAAAUCAAAAACUAGGGUUAAAAAAAUGCAACGAAGGGGAUGCACAAGAGAGAGAGAAAGAGGGAAAAAGAAGGAAUGAAGAUGAAGCGGGUUAUUUAAAUGAUUUGAAAAUAAAGAAAUCAUUAUGCAUUUAAUGAGAAAUGACAUUAGGAGAGAGAACAUUGUAAAUGAAAUGAUUUAACACAGUUACCUAGGUCGGCGUCUUUUCAACUGCACGCUUUGUACUAACCGUACAGACACGUGUUCACCAUCAGAUAAUGGAUGACAGCUGUAAAAAAAAUGAAUAGACUUUACGCCUUUUGAUUCUGAUCACUGCUUCUGAUUGUCAUUCUUAAGAAAUGAUCUGGUUCUGAUAGGAUCAUCUUUCUUCCCAAGAAUCACAUCUUCUGAAUGAGCUGAAGCAAGUCUAGGUGAUCUUCUGACUGUAGGUUCUUCAGAGAUUCUCAGAUUCUCUAAAGAUGCAGCAGCUUGAUCUUCUGAUCCAUUGCUUCUGAGACUGCCAGCUUCUGCAGCUUUGCUUCUUGAUUCUUCAACUUCUGAUAUAUCAAUAUCUAUAUCUGCAAAAUUCUCAAACUGCUUUGGUUUUUCAAGACCAAGCUUAUCAUCAAACCUGAUAUUGAUUGAUUCUUCUACAAUCAAUGUUUCAGUAUUGUAUACUCUGUAGCCUUUAGAGCGUUCAGAAUAUCCAAGAAGGAAACAUUUUUGUGCUUUGGAAUCAAACUUACCAAGAUGAUCUUUAGUAUUCAGAAUAAAACAUACACAUCCAAAAGGAUGGAAAUAAGAAAUGUUGGGCUUUCUGUUCUUCCACAAUUCAUAAGGAGUCUUAUUUAGAAUAGGUCUGAUAGAGAUUCUAUUCUGAAUAUAACACGCAGUGUUUAUUGCUUCUGCCCAGAAAUGCUUAGCCAUAUUGGUUUCAUUGAUCAUGGUUCUGGCCAUUUCUUAUAGAGUCCUAUUCUUUCGCUCUACAACUCCAUUUUGUUGUGGAGUUCUAGGGCAAGAGAAAUCAUGGGAAAUACCAUUUUCUUUGAAGAACUCCUCAAAGAAUUUGUUCUCAAAUUCACCACCAUGAUCACUUCUGACCUUUAUGAUUUUGCACUCCUUCUCAGAUUGGAUCUGAGUGCAGAAUUCAAAGAACACUGAAUGAGACUCAUCCUUGUGUUUCAAGAACUUUACCCAUGUCCAGCGGCUAUAAUCAUCAACGAUGACUAAUCCAUAUUUCUUCCCUCUGACAGAUGCUGUUUUGACUGGGCCAAACAGAUCAAUGUGCAAGAGCUCUAACGGCCUUGAGGUAGAAACAACAUUCUUAGACUUGAAUGCAGGUCUGGAGAACUUGCCCUUCUGACAUGCUUCACAAAGAGCAUCUGAUUUGUAUUUCAGAUUUGAGAGUCCUCUGACUAGAUUUAGUUUGUUAAUCUGAGAAAUCUUUCUCAAACUAGCAUGUCCUAAUCUUCUGUGCCAGACCCAUUGCUCUUCAGAAACAGACAUAAGACAAGUCACCUUCAGCUUCUCAAGAUCAGAAAGAUCAAUCUUAUAAAUAUUGUUCUUCCUCUUGCCUGUAAAUAGGAUUGAGCCAUCCUUCUGACUUACAGCCUUGCAAGACUUUUGAUUGAAGAUUAUAUCAUAACCAUUGUCACUUAAUUGACUUAUGGACAAUAAGUUAUGCUUUAAUCCUUCUACAAGAAGUACAUUAGUUAUGGAAGGAGAGAUACCAAGACUUAUGGUUCCAGAGCCAAUGAUUUUGCCCUUCUGAUCUCCUCCAAACUUGACUUCUCCACCUGGUUUAAGCACCAGGUCUUGGAAUGUAGACCUUCUUCCCGUCAUGUGUCGCGAGCACCCAGAGUCCAGGUACCAUGACAUUUUGCUUUCUGUCCUCUUUGCCGCCAAGGAUAUCUGCAACAGAAAUUAUCUUCUCCUUAGGUACCCACAAUUUCUUGGGUCCUUUCUUGUUAGUUCUCCUCAAGUUCUGAUUGAACUUGGGUUUAGCAAAAUAUUUAGCAGGAGGAACAGUAUGAUACUUCUUAUUCUGAGUUCCAUGAUAUUUCUUAGGUUGUGUCACAUGCUUCUUGGUGUGUGUUAUGUGAAAACUUUGUGCAUGUGAUGUGUGCUUAAUAUCAUGGGAGUGGCCAAAUUUAAAUUGGUUAUACAGAGGCUUGUAUGAUAUUUUCAUAUCAUCCACAGAUUCAAGCUUGUAUGGGAUUUCACCCUCAUAACCAAUGCCAACUCUCUUGUUCCCAGACACAGCAUAUAUCAUAGAAGCUAGCUGACUUCUGCCAAUACUUCUAGAUAAGAACUUCCUGAAACUUAAAUCAUAUUCUUUCAGAAUAUGAUUCAGACUGGGAGUGGAUUUUUCUGAAUCAGAAGGAGAUCCAACAUUAUUGGAUAAUUUUAAAACUUUUUCUUUUAAUUCAGAAUUUUCCAACUCAAGCUUCUUAGUUUCAAAUUCAAAUUGCUUUUUCAGCUUUUUGUAUUUGAUACUAAGAUGAGCUUUUAAUUCAAGAAGCUCUGUUAGACUGGAAACUAACUUUUCUCUAGAUAGUUCAGAAAAUACCUCUUCAGAAUCUGAUUCUGAUGUAGAUUCUGAUCCAUCAUCUUCUGUCGCCAUCAGCGCAAAGUUUGCCUGCUCUCCUUCAGAGUCUGAUCCUGAUUCUGAUUCAGAAUCAUCCCAUGUUGCCAUAAGACCUUUCUUCUUAUGAAACUUCUUCUUGGGAUUCUCCUUCUGAAGUUUCGGACACUCAUUCUUGUAAUGUCCAGGCUCAUUGCACUCAUAGCAGACAGCCUUCUUCUUGUCAGAUCUUCUGUCACCAGAAGAUUCUCCUCGUUCAAAUUUCUUUGAACUUCUGAAGCCUCUGAACUUCCUUUGCUUGCUCUUCCAGAGUUGGUUUACCCUUCUGGAGAUCAUGGACAGUUCAUCUUCUUCUUCAGAUUCUGAUUCUUCAGGAUCUUCUUCUCUAGCCUGAAAAGCGUUAGUGCAUUUUUUAACAUUAGAUUUUAAGGCAAUAGACUUACCUUUCUUCUGAGGUUCAUUAGCGUCAAGUUCAAUCUCAUGACUCCUCAGGGCACUGAUCAGCUCUUCCAAAGAAACUUCAUUCAGAUUCUUCGCAAUCUUGAAUGCAGUCACCAUUGGGCCCCAUCUUCUGGGCAAACUUCUGAUGAUCUUCUUUACAUGACCAGCCUUGGUGUAGCCUUUGUCGAGAACUCUUAAUCCAGCAGUCAGAGUUUGAAAUCUUGAAAACAUCUUCUCAAUGUCUUCAUCAUCCUCCAUCUUGAAGGCUUCAUAUUUCUGGAUUAGAGCAAGAGCUUUAGUCUCCUUGACUUGAGCAUUUCCCUCAUGGGUCAUUUUCAAUGACUCAUAUAUAUCAUGGGCAGUUUCCCUGUUAGAUAUCUUCUCAUACUCAGCAUGAGAGAUAGCAUUCAGCAAAACAGUCCUGCAUUUGUGAUGAUUUUUGAAAUCUUUCUUUUGAUCAUCAGUCAUUUCGCUUCUCGUGAGCCUUACACCAGUAGCUUUAACAGGAUGUUUGUAACCAUCCAACAGAAGAUCCCAUAGAUCAGCAUCUAGACCAAGAAAGUAACUUUCCAGUUUAUCUUUCCAGUAUUCAAAGUUUUCACCAUCAAAUACUGGUGGUCUAGUAUAACCAUUGUUACCGUUGUAUUGCUCAGCAGAGCCAGAUGUAGAUGCAGCUGGAUUUGUUGGAACUUCACCAGCCAUCUUUUACUGAAGCGUUUUUCUCUUCCUGAAUCUUUUCUAAACACGGUUAAGUGCUUGCACCUUAGAACCGGCGCUCUGAUACCAAUUGAAGGAUAGAAAAACACUUAGAAAGGGGGGGUUUGAAUAAGUGUAUUCUAAAAACUUGAACGAUAAAAACAAUAUGCACAGUUAUUUUUAUCCUGGUUCGUUGUUAACUAAACUACUCCAGUCCACCCCCACGGAGUGAUUUACCUCACCUGAGGAUUUAAUCCACUAAUCGCAACAGAUUACAAUGGUUUUCCACUUAGUCCGCGACUAAGUCUUCUAGAGUAUCCUGAUCACAACCUGAUCACUCUAGGAACAAAUGCUUAGACACAAGCUAAGACUUUCUUAGAGUAUCCUGACCACCACGUGAUCACUCUAAUUACAACUGCUUAGACACAAGCUAAGACUUCCUAGAGUAUCCUGAUCAACACUUGAUCACUCUAGUUACUUACAAAUUAAUGUAAUCAAUUCUAAGAGUAUUACAAUGCUUCUUAAAAGCUAUAAUCACAACAGUGAUAUUUCUCUUAACGUUUAAGCUUAAUCUCACUAAUAUAUUACAACAGCAAUGUAGUGAGCUUUGAUGAAGAUGAAGUUUAUGAGCUUUGAGUUUGAACAGCGUUUCAGCAAGUCUUUCAGAAUAAUUUCGUUCAGAAUUGGUAACCUUGCUUUUCAUCAGAACUUCAUAUUAAUAGGCGUUUGAGAAGAUGACCGUUGGGCGCAUUUAAUGCUUUGCGUAUUCCGUAUAGCAUUGCAUUUAAUGUUUCACGCUUUUGUCAACUACCUCGAGCCUUGUUCACGCUGUGUCUACUGACGUUGCCUUUAAUAGCUUCCAACGUUCCUUUUGUCAGUCAGCGUAGCCUACCACUUGUACUUUCUUCUGAUCUGAUGUUUGUGAAUAAAAUAUUUGAAUAUCAUCAGAGUCAAACAGCUUGGUGCAAAGCAUCUUCUUGUCUUCUGACCUUGAAGUGCUUUUGAGCGUGAUACCAUCAGAACUUCAGUGCUACUGCUUCUGAUCUCAAGUUCUUCUGAUGCUUUCAUAGACCCAUGUUCUGAUUCUGCCUUGACCAUCUUCUGAUGUCUUGCCAGACCAUGUUCUGAUGUUGCAUGCUGAACCUUCUGAGACAAAGCUUCUGAGCGCUGAUUUGUGCAUACUCUUUAUAUAUUUCCUGAAAGGGAAAUUGCAAUGUAUUAGAGUACCACAUUAUCUCACACAAAAUUCAUAUCCUUGUUAUCAUCAAAACUAAGAAUAUUGAUCAGAACAAAUCUUGUUCUAACACUACGCUGGUGAGAAAGUAUGCAAGCGGUGGCCUCCUGACGUGUCUAACGAGUAUUUCUAUUUUUACCCGGGUGUCAUUGAUGACUUCGGUAAGGGUAUCCCGUUUGUCAUUUUCUAGUCUGAAGUUCUAAAAGCUCUGAAUGUCUCCCAUUCUCAACCUUAUCAUAAUAGCUAGGCCUUUUCCCGGGAAUUCGAGGUUGUUUGUUGGGGUCUUAAUAUCAUGCCGACUAUUGGUAUUUUAUUUCUUUAUAAUAGGCGAAAGACGUGUAUAAAGGAGGUUGAUUUCCCAUGAGUGCUAUGCAUGGAUGGACCAUUCCUCUAAGUUACAGGUAAUGCCCAUUGUCUCGAAGUUGUAUAUGAUGAGGACAAGACAUACCAGUUUCCCUUUAAUUAAACUAGUGACCCUAUCUCUAUUAUGAGUUAUGACCCAUACAAGUUGAGUGCCAUUGAGAGAGAGUUUGGUGAUCUCUUCAAGAAAUUUUGUGUCAUGAGAGUGUGUGACUUGUUCAAGUAUGAAGGUAACCUAUAUAAAUUGGGUGAUUUCCUCGAUAUAACAGCUUUUCUGUCAUUCUAUUUGUUAUUCCUUUAUCUUGCUUCUAACUUAUUCAACAUUUUUUAUGCA